ANACUGCCGAACAACUAGCCCUGAAAAUGGAUGGCGCUAAAGCGUCGUGCCUAUACCGGGCCGUCAACGGCAUAGUUGGCCUCUGCCUUCGGGCAAGAGCCGUUACGUCUUGACGAGUAGGAGGGUCGCGGCGGUGUGCGCAGAAGGGUCUGGGCGUGAGCCUGCCUGGAGCCGCCGUCGGCGCAGAUCUUGGUGGUAGUAGCAAAUACUCUAGAGAGGGCCUGGAGAGCCGAUGUGGAGAAGGGUUUCUUGUGAACAGCCGUUGUACAAGAGUAAGUCGAUCCUAAGUGCUAGGAGAAAUCCGAUGUUGAUGGUCUGGCUGUCGACUUCUAUUCUCAACACUUAGAAAACGCUUUAGGCUUCAGGGCCGUAAAAGCGUAGGCUUUAUCUCAUACCAUACACCUAGUGUGGAUUGCCCUGACGUGUUUUCCGGUGGGCUGUACGUUACACGCUUCAGCCUGUACGGACUCUUUUUCGCGUCAGGGUAGCCCAGGUUCUAUGACACGAGUGUGGUGUCUUGCUAGCUGGACCGAAGGUGUUGGAACUAGCCUUGGAGCUUUGGUGCUCCUGACGUGUUUUCCGGUGGGCUGUAUGUUACACGCUUCAGCCUGUACGGACUCUUUUUCGCGUCAGGGUAGCCCAGGUUCUAUGACACGAGUGUGGUGUCUUGCUAGCUGCACCGAAGGUGUUGGAACUAGCCUUGGAGCUUUUGGUUGAGAGAAGGCGAUGUGUUAUCCUUAGCCCGUUGAAGGGCGAAAGGGAAUCCGGUCAACAUUCCGGAACCCGGCUGCGUAAACCGCUCUCUGUUGGCGUAAGCCGGCGAGCGCUUUGUUGGGGUAACCCAAGCUGUCCCGGAGACUCUGGCGGGGGGUCUGGGAAGAGUUUUCUUUUCUUUUUAAGCGUUCGUGGACCCUGGAAUUCUAUAGCAGAGAGGAUAGGGUUUGGAACGCGAAAAACAUCGCAGUUGCGGCGGUGACCGGACUUCCCCCCCGGACCUUGAAAAUCUGGGUGAGAGCGACGCGGUGAUCGCGCCGGUUCGUAUCCAUAUCCGCAUCUGGUCUCCAAGGUUCAAAGCCUCUUGGCGAUAGAAUAAUGAAGGUAAGGGAAGCGGCAAAUUGGAUCCGUAACUUCGGGACAAGGAUUGGCUCUGAGGAUCGGGGCGUGUCGGGCUUGGUCGGGAAGCGGGUCAGUGCCAACGUGCCGGGCCUGGGCGAGUGUUGUGUUGGUAUUCUCGGCAGCAAUGUCGAGUUUCCCACGAUCCGAACCCGGUCCCGUGCCACUUGGCCUCCCGCGGAUCUUCCUUGCUGCGGGUUUUCGACCAAGCAGACCAGGCUGGGCCGCUUCAGGCCCGCUUGGACGGCUUCGAAUCAAUCCCUUCGGCCGCCAUUCAACGGUCAACUCAGAACUGGCACGGACAAGGAGAAUCCGACUGCCUAAUUAAAGCAAAGCAUUGCGAGGGCUCUAGCCGAGUGCUUACGCAAUGUGAUUUCUGCCCAGUGCUCUGAAUGUCAACGUGUAGAAAUUCAAGCAAGCGCGGGUAAACGGCGGGAGUAACUAUGACUCUCUUAAGGUAGCCAAAUGCCUCGUCAUCCAAUUAGUGACGCGCAUGAAUGGAUUAACGAGAUUCUCACUGUCCCUAUCUACUAUCUAGCGAAACCACAGCCAAGGGAACGGGCUUGGAAACAUUAGCGGGGAAAGAAGACCCUGUUGAGCUUGACUCUAGUCUGGCACUGUAAGGAGACAUGAGAGGUGUAGCAUAAGUGGGAGAAGGUGGGCUUUAUGCCUGUCCUUCGACGGUGAAAUACCACUACUUUCAUCGUUUCUUUACUUACUCGGAUAGGCGGAGAGCGUGUCCGUCGAGGGUUCAGCCCACGCGGACCGGUGUUCUCGCGCCAAGCGUCCGGGUUGCCGGCAAGCGCCCGUCAGGCUUGGGUGUGUCUUUGAUUUGUCACCGCAAGGUGGCGGUCACUGCUCACGUCCCUCGCCUUGGCUGGGCGCCGUCGACCGGCAAAUACUCCCACGCGUGAUCCGAUUCGAGGACACAGCCAGGCGGGGAGUUUGACUGGGGCGGUACAUCUGUCAAAUGAUAACGCAGGUGUCCUAAGGCCAGCUCAGCGAGGACAGAAACCUCGCGUAGAGCAAAAGGGCAAAUGCUGGUUUGAUCCCGAUGUCCAGUAGGCAUAGGGACUGCGAAAGCAGGGCCUGUCGAUCCUUUUGGCUUGAAGAGAUUUCAGCAAGAGGUGU
rnacentral:rRNA from 1 species